rnacentral:misc_RNA from 1 species
CAGCUGGUUAGUCCUCGUCGGAGCUCUCUGGACCCGGUGUUAUGUUCAGGUCAGGGUUCUUCACCACCCUCGCCGGCGGCGAGGUCACCGUCCGUCCAGCAUGGAGAGCAUCCACCCUCGCUCCCACCUCCGUCGCCUUCUUCCUUAUCGACGCCGCUGACAGCGCAUCGCCGCCGGGCUCCACCCCCACCUCUAUCUCGUCAGGGAAGUUAAGCCUCGCCGAGCGGCCACGGAGGUAGUAAACGGCGGUGUCGUAGGCGCGGGCAGCGGCGACAGCGGUGGAGUAGGAGCCGAGCCAG